AUUGAACGCUGGCGGCAGGCCUAACACAUGCAAGUCGAGCGAGCGGCGGACGGGUGAGUAAUGUGUGGGAAACUGCCUGAGGGAGGGGGAUAACUACUGGAAACGGUAGCUAAUACCGCAUACCAUCAGAUGUGCCCAGAUGGGAUUAGCGAGUAGGGGGGGGAACGGCUCACCUCGGCGACGAUCCCUAGCGGGUCUGAGAGGAGGACCAGCCACACUGGAACUGAGACACGGUCCAUACUCCUUCGGGAGGCAGCAGUGGGGAAUAUUGCACAAUGGGCGCAAGCCUGAUGCAGCCAUGCCGCGUGUGUGAAGAAGGCCUUCGGGUUGUAAAGCACUUUCAGCGGGGAGGCGUUACCCGCAGAAGAAGCACCGGCUAACUCCGUGCCAGCAGCCGCGGUAAUAC
rnacentral:rRNA from 1 species